CUGGGAUUCAGAUAUGCCAAAGAGAAGCCAUGAAGUGCAUCUUUUAAAUUAAAAGCCUACCUAUUCUCCCAGAGGGCAUGCAUUCUAUGGAGACAGAGCUGAAUGUGUGCCAUCAGAAGACCAAAAUCAAGCGACAUUUUAAAAAGAAAACAGACUCUUCUGGGAAAAAUGGUGACUCCACAAAGUAAGAAGCCACCAAGACUUGUAGGACAUUCCUUCAUCUUCUCCUGGAUGGGGCAACCCAGCCAUGGAUAUAUGCCUCCAAUCAGCAUAAAUGCCCAUUGCUUGAUAAAGUCAACACACGUGUAAGAUGGAAAUUCUGUUUCUUGAAGGGAACUCCUCAGAGAAAAGGACCACAAGCAAAUUGCUGCUGCUACAAAAUGAUACCAUAAUGAGAAUGGAAAUAAUCCUGGAUUCUCUGCUCAUUUCGACAAGUAAAAUAAGGCACAUAUUUUUCAAUGGAUAAUGUUCUUUGGUCUCUGUAAAAAUUGUUUCCGUUUUGACACUUUUUGUAACCUAUUUCUUUGAAACCUGAGUUCACUCAGUUUGGGGAAACAUAGGGUACGGAAGAAGAAGGGGAAAAGGAAUAUGGAAUCACAAGGAUUUAGAGUCAAAGUAAUUUUAACUUUCAUAGAGAGACCGCAGGGAUCAGCUAACACAACAAGCCCAUUUUACAGAGGAGUCAACUAAGGCUCAAAGAAUCCAUGAGACUCGCCCAGAGAAGCAGCUCAUUAGUGGCAGAGUUGAUCUAGAAUUCUGGGCUCCUGCUGCUGCAACCCAGUCCUCUUUGCAGCAUCCCAAACUCCCUCUCUCAUAAUAAUCCAGGAUAAUAGUCAUUUCCCAUUUUUAAUAAGAAGGAAAUGAGCACAGAGAGAACCAGUCACAGCAUGAUGGAAGAAACCUGGAACUAAAGCCUCACUACUUCUCUUUCCUGACUGCCCCGCCACCUCAGAUCCCAAAUCCACAGCUUACAGGAAGUUUUUACCAAUGUUAUUUCUAAGUGAGCACAGAAUGUACGGU
rnacentral:lncRNA from 10 species